rnacentral:lncRNA from 1 species
GUCUCCAGCAGUAGACGCACAGCCCCACCCUCUUGCAGGCUCAUUCCUGUUAAUUCACAAAUAGGAAGGAAGAUCUUUUAAUAGGAUCUGUGGUUGCUGUUCCUGGACUUUACGUUUCCAGUUUAAAACACCAAGCAGUGUGAUGUCCUGCCAGCUCCUCCUCAUGCAGUCCCAUCACGCCUCGGGAAGAGCCAGGGCACAGCAAGACCGGAGGGAGGACCUUUGGGCUGGAUUCCUUUUUCUGUCUUUUUCCUGCUCUCAAAGCCUGGUGGUGGUGGUGUCACUGUUUGCUCUUCAGCCUGGGGGCACGGGGAUCCUUUCUCUGGCUUCCUUGCUUGGAAUGGAGGCCCACACUAAUAGCGCUACUUUUCAGAGUCGAAGCCCAAGUCCCUUUCCGUGCCACAUUCAUCUCGCUGCCUGGUACCAGGUCUACAUGAGUGACCCACCUCCCUUUCAAAUGUGAUGUGUAACAACCAUUGGACACAAUGUUUGGAAGCGAGUUGCUAACCAACAUUCUAUAGAACACAGUGAUCCAUCGAUGUGACUCACAGACAAGUCACUUCACCCCCAUGGACCUCACACUGGGUGUGCCAUUUGCUCUAGGUUGACUCAGGGCUUAACCCUUCCACAUCUGGGAAAUUCCACUCACCUUCUUUUUUCCACGAAGUCUCACACACGUCUGAGUGGCUCCGAGGACAUCUGUAGGAGGCAGAAACUGCCAGCCAGGAAGGGUGGAAGUGCAUGGCUUACGGUUAUUCCUCCACAGUUUUCGGCUGUUGGUAGGGACUACAAAGGAGGGGGAAUGCAAACUUCAGUCCUUCAGCAAUUAGACCCAGCAAUUAAACACUAAAGAAAGUGUGACUUUCAAUCUAGCCAUGUAGGCAGUUUUAGAUUCAAGAAGAGUUCAGUAUUCCCUGAGAUUAAAUGAGUCAUCCCACCCAUGAGCCUGCAGAAUGUGAGUGUGCAUGUGAGCAUGCAUGCCUAUGUAUGAGCAUGCAGAGACCAUAAGAAGACAUUAGAUGUCUGCCUCCAUUGUUCUUCACCUCAUUGCCUUGAGACAGGGACUCUCACUGGACCAGAAGCUAGCUACCUUGGCUAGGUUGGCUGGCCAGUAACCUCCAGAGGUCUGUCUGGGUUAAUAGGUGCCCACAGCCAGGUUCAGAUUUUUUUUUUUUUAAUAGAAUUUGAACCCAGGUCCUCACAGUUGCAAAGCAAGUACUUUUAUCCACUGAGUCACCUUCUCAGCCACUAUUAAGUUUGUUACUGUUGUCAGUUGUUUGUUUGAGAUGGGCUGACCUAGAUCAAACUCACAGAGAUUUGCCUGCUCAUGCCUCCUGAGUUCUGGGAUUAAAUGCAUGUGCUGCUAUGCCCAAGCCUGUUUUUAAAACAGACGCUAAUUUGUGUUUUUUCUUUGUCAGCUUCGAAGGCUCCAAGGCCUGGACGUUAGUUGAAGUCAUGUGGUCUGUACACCCCAGUCUAUACCUAUUCCAUCGAGUGUGCAUAAAGGUUCUCUCGUGUAAACAGACAGUAGCCUCAAUAUGAAGGCAUCCAACCCUACUCACCAAAGACAGAGUGCCCAGCUCCUUUGUGAUGUCAGGACAUGUCAUUUUCUUCCCAUCUCAGGUCCUCUGUUUAAAAUCAGCUAGCUAGCCUGUGGUACUUUGUCACAGCAGAGCCAGUAAAUGAACACCCCACGAAUCCUUUCUUUGUUUGGAUUCAUCUAUUCAAUAUCUGUGGUAUGCUACAUCUGAGGAUACAGAGGGGAAAAAUGUCACCCUAUCCUUAGGAAGACUGGACAGAUACUGAUCCUCCAGGCAAGAGUUACAGCAUUUGAAAGAAGUACAGUAUCAGUGAAUGUGGGCAGGGCCAAUCUAGAUAUGGGUGUCACUCUAGAAACAAGUUUUUCUGUUUUUAAUUUAAAAGUAUGUCUUUAUUUGGAGAGAGGAUUUCCAGGUGUCACAGUGCGUGUGUGGAUGACAGAGGACAGUUGUGGAAGCCAGGUCUCUCAUUCCUACCAUGUGGGUCUGAGAGACUGGAUUCGGGUCAUUAUUGGGCUUGUUGUCGCUGCUGUUCCUUGUAUUGUUGUUUAUU